ensembl:snoRNA
CCUUCACCCUAGAGACAUUGCCAGUGUGACUGCUGUGUCACGUGUGUGUCAGUAGGUGGCAGAGAGGAAAGAGGCCUUGUCUAUGCUCAGUGUUGACCUAUAAGCUUCUGAAUGAUGAAUAGCCUUACUUG